GACGUAGGGUGCGAGCGUUGUCCGGAUUUAUUGGGCGUAAAGAGCUCGUAGGCGGCUCGUCGCGUCAGCUGUGAAAACCCGCAGCUUAACUGUGGGCUUGCAGCUGAUACGGGCGGGCUAGAGUUCGGUAGGGGAGACUGGAACUCCUGGUGUAGCGGUGAAAUGCGCAGAUAUCAGGAGGAACACCGGUGGCGAAGGCGGGUCUCUGGGCCGAUACUGACGCUGAGGAGCGAAAGCGUGGGGAGCGAACAGG
rnacentral:rRNA from 1 species